rnacentral:lncRNA from 1 species
UCACUUCCUCCAGAUCUGCCACAACCGCCACACCAUCGGCUCUCACCUCCGUCGGCCAUCUCCCACCGAGAGAGAAAGGAAUCGAGCGGCGGCGGUGAGUUCGCCUCAGCCAAGAGAUCCCCUCUCUCUCACUUCCUCCACCGCCCUCACUGCGUACACUCCGCCGCCGGAAAACCUCGCGCGGUGGAGGUCCCAGAAAAGGUCGAUCCUCGCUCGCCGGCAGUGGGGGAUGGGGGAAGGGGAAGCGAGCAGACGGAGGUCCUAGAAAAGGGGAUCUAGGGUUUCAUAGGAGGAAUGGGGAUGAAGUCUGCGGUGGCUUUGGGUGUUUGUCGUUGAGUUAGAGAGAGAGAGAGAGAGAGAGAGAGA